rnacentral:rRNA from 1 species
GCCUACGGGGGGCAGCAGUGGGGAAUAUUGCCCAAUGGGGGAAACCCUGAUGCAGCGACGCCGCGUGAGUGAAGAAGUAAUUCGUUAUGUAAAGCUCUAUCAGCAGGGAAGAAAAUGACGGUACCUGAGUAAGAAGCCCCGGCUAACUACGUGCCAGCAGCCGCGGUAAUACGUAGGGGGCAAGCGUUAUCCGGAUUUACUGGGUGUAAAGGGAGCGUAGACGGCAGUGCAAGUCUGGAGUGAAAGGCGGGGGCUCAACCCCCGGCCUGCUUUGGAAACUGUACGG